UUGCCUUAAACUAAUGAGUAAGGAAAACAAAGCAAGCGGUGAGAGCUGCUUGCCGUGCUGCGUAUAAACGUGCACAAGAAUUUAUGGAGGGAUCAUAGGCUGGCCUAGUGUUGACGCUGCUUACUUUGCAGAACUCACUUGUGCGGGCCUCCC
rnacentral:snRNA from 1 species